AAGAAGGUGGCAGAGUGGUAAUGAUGCUGGCUUGAAACCAGUAUACGGGGGUUCAAUUCCCUCCCUUCUCG
rnacentral:tRNA from 1 species